GGGGCUGAUUCUGGAUUCGACGGGAUUUGCGAGCCAAAGGUGCGCAUGCCACGAGGGCGGUUGGCCUCGUAAAGCCGCAAAAAAUGAGGUCACGCAAACGCGACGAGCCACCGCUUUAGCAGCUUAAUAACCUGCUUAGAGCCCUCUCUCCUAACUAGCCUCCGCUCUUGGGACGGGGAUGUCAAGAGGUCAAACCAAAAAGAGGAUCGCGCGGAUGCCCUGCACGGGGUUGAAGCGUUAAAACGAAUCAGGCUAGUCUGGUAGUGGCGUGUCCGUCCGCAGGUGCCCGGGCGAAUGUAAAGACUUGACUAAGCGUAAUAGCAGUACGCACGCACCGAGGAUGUAGGAAUUUCGGCGGACGCGGGUUUCAACUCCCGCCAGCUCCACCA
rnacentral:tmRNA from 1 species